AACGAACGCUGGCGGCAUGCCUAACACAUGCAAGUCGAACGAAGGCUUCGGCCUUAGUGGCGCACGGGUGCGUAACGCGUGGGAAUCUGCCCUUUGGUUCGGAAUAACAGCUGGAAACGGCUGCUAAUACCGGAUGAUGACGAAAGUCCAAAGAUUUAUCGCCAGAGGAUGAGCCCGCGUUGGAUUAGGUAGUUGGUGGGGUAAAGGCCUACCAAGCCGACGAUCCAUAACUGGUCUGAGAGGAUGAUCAGCCACACUGGGACUGAGAAACGGCCCAGACUCCUCCGGGAGGCAGCAGUGGGUAAUAUUGCACCAUGGGCGCAAUCCUGAUCCAGCACUGCUGGGUGAGUGAUGAAGGCCCUAGGGUUGUAAAGCUCUUUUACCCGGGAAGAUAAUGACUGUACCGGGAGAAUAAGCCCCGGCUAACUCCGUG
rnacentral:rRNA from 1 species